rnacentral:rRNA from 1 species
GACGAACGCUGGCGGCGUGCUUAACACAUGCAAGUCGAACGGAAAGGCCCUGCUUUUGGGGGGUGCUCGAGUGGCGAACGGGUGAGUAACACGUGAGUAACCUGCCCUUGACUUUGGGAUAACUUCAGGAAACUGGGGCUAAUACCGGAUAGGAGCUCCUGCUGCAUGGUGGGGGUUGGAAAGUUUCGGCGGUUGGGGAUGGACUCGCGGCUUAUCCGCUUGUUGGUGGGGUAGUGGCUUAGCAAGGCUUUGACGGGUAGCCGGCCUGAGAGGGUGACCGGACACAUUGGGACUGGGAUACGGCCCAGACUCCUACGGGAGGCAGCAGUGGAGAAUAUUGCACAAUGGGCGGAAGCCUGAUGCAGCAACGCCGCGUGCGGUAUGACGGCCUGCGGGUUGUAAACCGAUUUCGCCUGUGACGAAGCGUGAGUGACGGUAAUGGGUAAAGAAGCACCGGCUAACUACGUG